GGCUCGGUGGUGCACGGAUGCGCAUCUGCUGCACUUGUGCAAAAAAGCUUGAAAAUUCGAGCAGAAGGUCCCCGUUCGAUUCGGGGUCGAGCCA